rnacentral:rRNA from 1 species
UACGUAGGGGGCAAGCGUUGUCCGGAAUCAUUGGGCGUAAAGAGCGUGUAGGCGGCCCGGUAAGUCCGCUGUGAAAGUCCAGGGCUCAACCCUGGGAUGCCGGUGGAUACUGUCGGGCUCGAGUCCGGAAGAGGAGUGUGGAAUUCCUGGUGUAGCGGUGAAAUGCCGCAGAAUAUCAGGAGGAACACCAAUGGCGAAGGCAGCACUCUGGGA